AUUGAACGCUGGCGGCAUGCCUUACACAUGCAAGUCGAACGGCAGCACGGGUGCUUGCACCUGGUGGCGAGUGGCGAACGGGUGAGUAAUACAUCGGAACAUGUCCUGUAGUGGGGGAUAGCCCGGCGAAAGCCGGAUAAAUACCGCAUACGAUCUACGGAUGAAAGCGGGGGCCCUUCGGGCCUCGCGCUAUAGGGUUGGCUGAUGGCUGAUUAGCUAGUUGGUGGGGUAAAGGCCUACCAAGGCGACGAUCAGUAGCUGGUCUGAGAGGACGACCAGCCACACUGGGACUGAGACACGGCCCAGACUCCUACGGGAGGCAGCAGUGGGGAAUUUUGGACAAUGGGCGAAAGCCUGAUCCAGCAAUGCCGCGUGUGUGAAGAAGGCCUUCGGGUUGUAAAGCACUUUUGUCCGGAAAGAAAUCCUUGGCCCUAAUACGGUCGGGGGAUGACGGUACCGGAAGAAUAAGCACCGGCUAACUACGUG
rnacentral:rRNA from 1 species